CAAAUAUUUAGCACCUAAUUACACAUUUUUUGUGGCAGGACAUAUUGAUGGACAAUUCUUAUGAUGGUAUAGCUGUAUAUGAAGUUCCAUAUACAUGGAUCCCCACUCAUCUGGUUGAGAUUCACCACUGAUGACACGAGUCUGUUACCCUGCUCCUGUGAAGGUAGCCGAAGGCCUGCAGCUCCCACCGUGAUAUCCUCUCUCGGCUUUCGCAUCUUCAUGCCCUAUGAGAAGGUGAACCACUCUAUCAAAGGCGAUGAACUCAUCCAAUUUGUACCUCCAAAAAACUUACUUC